rnacentral:lncRNA from 1 species
NNNNNNNNNNNNNNNNNNNNNNNNNNNNNNNNNNNNNNNNNNNNGAAUAAUAUUCCAUUGUGCAUAUGUAUAUAUAUGUCAUUAUGGGAUAUCCCUGCCUAGAUCUUUCGGUGAGUCUCUACCUCAGCUACUCUUAGGAUCAGGGGGAGAACCAUGGAAAGGCCCGGUGUCAGACAUCCGGAAAGAAGACGGGAUGAAUGUUUUACCUCUGAAGUACAUCCCAAAUCUGGGAGUUAACUUCAGCUUUGCUGGGGUCUAUUUGGCCAGUGAAACUCUGCCUAGACUCCUUGCUGGUGUGGUCAUGAGGAGACCUCACCACCAGUCGGUCAAAUCUGUGGAACACAAUGUGCUGUGUGCAUCCUCAGAUAUUGUGUGUUCCUCUGCCAUGAUUACCUAGUCCGAGAGUAAACCUCGCCUGCCACAGGGCCCGUGGCCUAGGUAUGGGGAGUUGAGCUUUCAACCCCAAACUAACAACAGAUUCUGGAGACUGGACUUAGGUCUAUCACGAUUCACUCCGGUAGAAGACACGAUGACUCUAUCUCCCUUGACGGACAGCAUGAUCGAAGCCACAGGGCAUGGCGUGUGUCACCCUUUGGCAGGUCUGUUUGAAAUCUGGGAUAAGGGAUGCCUCCUGUCACAACUUGAAUCGCUACUCUUGCCAUUUCAUUAGGCAACUUCCAAAUACAAAUUCAUAGAAGUUAUCUUCCUCUCUACCACACUAGCAGGUGAUGGUCUUUCCUGUUCUAUCUUUUUGGCUUUAGCUCCAACCCCUUUUUAUUUAUUUUUCUGGUAUUUCACGCAUGCCACACGAAUUCAUCUAAACAAAUGGUGAACAAGUGCCAUAUCGUAUCAAUGUCUUACAUGGCUGAAGGGCAAACCACCCUUUUUUCCAAAGUCCGUUUUCCAUUUACCCACCAAUUCAGCAUGCUGCAGUACAUUUCUUUUCACAUUCCCACCUUGGUCUUAUCCCACACAUGGAGAUGGAAAUGCUUUCUCGUUUUCUGUUCCAAGAAUUACUAGUAACGAGAACACACCCUACCCCAUCAGCAAGCCCCAAUGUGAUCGGUUUCUUUCGGCCUCCUUUGUCUCUUUUCCCCCCCACCCCUCAGGGAUUGCGUGAAACAAACAACUGUUCAGUGAAACUAACCUGAAAUUACAGGUCUACUUUCUUUCCCGGCUGGCACUGAGAUGGGCAGGUGAUGGAGCAGCCCCGCUUGAAGCGAUGCAGCAUCCAGGAAGAUGGAGGAAGGGGCGGAGAGGGACCUCUGCUUUCCAGGCUGCCUUUUAUACUGCCUCUGGUCACCUGAUGUGGAACGUACCCUAACCUAUCAGUUACAUGGACGUUAAUUACAAUUAACUUAAUCCAAUUACAUGACCUGGAAAGGUCUAUCUGCACAGCCCACUCUAAGAUCAUGUCCACUGCUGACAGACAUUCUAUAACAUAUGGGUACAGCUGCAAGCUUUGAAGAAUAGAUGUUCCCCGUCAGACAUGUAACACUGGUGCCUGUACCCCUGUCUUCUUUUCCAUCCUUUCUCUCCCUUAUCCUUGUUCA